CGAAUGCUGACAUAAGUAACGAUAAAGCGGGUGAAAAGCCCGCUCGCCGGAAGACCAAGGGUUCCUGUCCAACGUUAAUCGGGGCAGGGUGAGUCGACCCCUAAGGCGAGGCCGAAAGGCGUAGUCGAUGGGAAACAGGUUAAUAUUCCUGUACUUGGUGUUACUGCGAAGGGGGGACGGAGAAGGCUAUGUUGGCCGGGCGACGGUUGUCCCGGUUUAAGCGUGUAGGCUGGUUUUCCAGGCAAAUCCGGAAAAUCAAGGCUGAGGCGUGAUGACGAGGCACUACGGUGCUGAAGCAACAAAUGCCCUGCUUCCAGGAAAAGCCUCUAAGCAUCAGGUAACAUCAAAUCGUACCCCAAACCGACACAGGUGGUCAGGUAGAGAAUACCAAGGCGCUUGAGAGAACUCGGGUGAAGGAACUAGGCAAAAUGGUGCCGUAACUUCGGGAGAAGGCACGCUGAUAUGUAGGUGAAGCGACUUGCUCGUGGAGCUGAAAUCAGUCGAAGAUACCAGCUGGCUGCAACUGUUUAUUAAAAACACAGCACUGUGCAAACACGAAAGUGGACGUAUACGGUGUGACGCCUGCCCGGUGCCGGAAGGUUAAUUGAUGGGGUCAGCGCAAGCGAAGCUCUUGAUCGAAGCCCCGGUAAACGGCGGCCGUAACUAUAACGGUCCUAAGGUAGCGAAAUUCCUUGUCGGGUAAGUUCCGACCUGCACGAAUGGCGUAAUGAUGGCCAGGCUGUCUCCACCCGAGACUCAGUGAAAUUGAACUCGCUGUGAAGAUGCAGUGUACCCGCGGCAAGACGGAAAGACCCCGUGAACCUUUACUAUAGCUUGACACUGAACAUUGAGCCUUGAUGUGUAGGAUAGGUGGGAGGCUUAGAAGUGUGGACGCCAGUCUGCAUGGAGCCGACCUUGAAAUACCACCCUUUAAUGUUUGAUGUUCUAACGUUGACCCGUAAUCCGGGUUGCGGACAGUGUCUGGUGGGUAGUUUGACUGGGGCGGUCUCCUCCUAAAGAGUAACGGAGGAGCACGAAGGUUGGCUAAUCCUGGUCGGACAUCAGGAGGUUAGUGCAAUGGCAUAAGCCAGCUUGACUGCGAGCGUGACGGCGCGAGCAGGUGCGAAAGCAGGUCAUAGUGAUCCGGUGGUUCUGAAUGGAAGGGCCAUCGCUCAACGGAUAAAAGGUACUCCGGGGAUAACAGGCUGAUACCGCCCAAGAGUUCAUAUCGACGGCGGUGUUUGGCACCUCGAUGUCGGCUCAUCACAUCCUGGGGCUGAAGUAGGUCCCAAGGGUAUGGCUGUUCGCCAUUUAAAGUGGUACGCGAGCUGGGUUUAGAACGUCGUGAGACAGUUCGGUCCCUAUCUGCCGUGGGCGCUGGAGAACUGAGGGGGGCUGCUCCUAGUACGAGAGGACCGGAGUGGACGCAUCACUGGUGUUCGGGUUGUCAUGCCAAUGGCACUGCCCGGUAGCUAAAUGCGGAAGAGAUAAGUGCUGAAAGCAUCUAAGCACGAAACUUGCC
rnacentral:rRNA from 1 species